CAGCACAAGAGAGUCGUAAACAAGAGUUAGAAAAGUUGGUUCAGGAUCAGGAAAGCUUGAGAAGCUCUCUUCUGCAAUGGUGCUACACUAGUUAUGGAGAGGUUUUCAGCUCAUGGAUGCAUUUUUGUGCAGUGCGGAUAUUUGCAGAGAGCAUACUGAGAUACGGAUUGCCACCAUCUUUCUUGUCAUGUGUCUUAGCCCCGUCGAGCAAGGGCGAGAAGAAAGUGCGUUCGAUU